rnacentral:rRNA from 1 species
GUGCCAGCAGCCGCGGUAAUACGUAGGUGGCAAGCGUUAUCCGGAAUUAUUGGGCGUAAAGCGCGCGUAGGCGGUUUUUUAAGUCUGAUGUGAAAGCCCACGGCUCAACCGUGGAGGGUCAUUGGAAACUGGAAAACUUGAGUGCAGAAGAGGAAAGUGGAAUUCCAUGUGUAGCGGUGAAAUGCGCAGAGAUAUGGAGGAACACCAGUGGCGAAGGCGACUUUCUGGUCUGUAACUGACGCUGAUGUGCGAAAGCGU